rnacentral:pre_miRNA from 1 species
AAUAAACCAAUUUUUCACUUUUUACCUUUAAUUUUUGACUCUUUGUCUUAUUAAAAAAAUUUUGCGAUUGAUAUUUUUGUUUUUAUUAGAUGAUAAAUUAUGAAUAGUACUUUACGUGCGACUAAUUUUUUUCUAAUUUUUUGAAAAUUUUUAAAUAAGACGGAUGAUCAAACGUUGGACAGGAAACGGAAGAAUUUGCU